UCCUUAGCAACUCCUAUCCCUACCUCCUCGCGGUACUGGCCGGGGUACGAGUAACCUUGGGGAAGAUCGGGUAACCAACCCCCGGUGGGAACUUUGGUCGUAUGCUGACAGGGAAGG
rnacentral:ribozyme from 1 species